GAUGAACGCUAGCGGCAGGCCUAAUACAUGCAAGUCGAACGGUAAAUAUUGUAGCAAUACGAUAUGAGAGUGACGUACGGGUGCGUAACACGUAUGCAACCUACCCAAAGCUGGAGUAUAGCUCGGGGAAACCCGAAUUAACCCUUCAUAGUAUCACUGGAUGGCAUAAUUUGGUGAUUAAAACUCAGGUGGUUUUGGAUGGGCAUGCGUCUGAUUAGCUAGUUGGCGGGGUAAAGGCCCACCAAGGCGAUGAUCAGUAGGGGAACUGAGAGGUUGACCCCCCACACUGGCACUGAGAUACGGGCCAGACUCCUACGGGAGGCAGCAUUAGGGAAUAUUGGUCAAUGGAUGCAAGUCUGAACCAGCCAUGCCGCGUGCAGGAAGAAGGCCUUCUGGGUUGUAAACUGCUUUUGCCAGAGGAUAAAAUGGGCGUGCGCGCCUAAUUGAAGGUACCUGGUGAAUAAGCCACGGCUAACUACGUGCCAGCCGCCGCAUGUA
rnacentral:rRNA from 1 species